AAGAUGAUAGAACGUUAUCGCGUGAUGCAUAAUAAUUGGAACCAUAUAAAUAAGCUUCCUGAUUUUCUUUUUCAGCUCACGCCGAACACGGGGACAGUCACAUCAAGGGCUCCUUUAUAAACAAAACGGGACGAAAAUGCGUACUUACUUGGUAGCCGCACUUGUAGUUGCCAUUGUGGCAUGUCUUUCGAGUGGAGUAUCCUCCGCUGGAUACGGAUACGGUGGAAAGGGCGGUGCCGUAUAUUCUCAUUACAGGCCACCUUCGUUCGGAUAUAGGUAUUACAGAGUACCAUACAGGAUUGGCGGAUCGGCUUACGGUUACGGAGGAUCGGCUUUUGGAACUGGUUUCGGCGGCGGGUCCUACAGGGCAGGUGGUGGCUUCGGCUUAAUCUGGUUACUUAUCAUAUUGUUUGUCCUCUUUGCACUCCUUAACGACAAAUAGAUCCAAUGUAAGUAACAAAGCAUGUACACCUUACGACCGACAUGAAACCGAUGGUUUUACAUUUGCAUGUAGUCUGAAUUUUCGCUCCUGUUUUCCAAUAAAGUAUUAAAUGUGCAAACUG